rnacentral:rRNA from 1 species
GACGAACGCUGGCGGCGUGCUUAACACAUGCAAGUCGUACGGUAAGGCCCUUUCGGGGGUACACGAGUGGCGAACGGGUGAGUAACACGUGAGUAACCUGCCCACAACUUUGGGAUAACGCUAGGAAACUGGUGCUAAUACUGGAUAUGUGCUCCUGCCGCAUGGUGGGGGUUGGAAAGCUCCGGCGGUUGUGGAUGGACGCGCGGCCUAUCAGCUUGUUGGUGGGGUAGUGGCCUACCAAGGCGGCGAUGGGUAGCCGGCCUGAGAGGGUGACCGGCCACAUUGGGACUGAGAUACGGCCCAGACUCCUACGGGGGGCAGCAGUGGGGAAUAUUGCACAAUGGGCGCAAGCCUGAUGCAGCAACGCCGCGUGCGGGAUGACGGCCUUCGGGUUGUAAACCGCUUUCAGCAGGGACGAAGCUUUUUGUGACGGUACCUGCAGAAGAAGCACCGGCUAACUACGUG